rnacentral:rRNA from 1 species
GUGUCAGCCGCCGCGGUAAUACGUAGGUGGCGAGCGUUGUCCGGAAUUAUUGGGCGUAAAGAGCGCGUAGGCGGGAAGAUAAGUCUACUUUAAAAGUGCGGGGCUCACCCCCGUGAUGGGGUAGAAACUAUCUUUCUUGAGUGCCGGAGAGGAAAGCGGAAUUCCCAGUGUAGCGGUGAAAUGCGUAGAUAUUGGGAGGAACACCAGUGGCGAAGGCGGCUUUCUGGACGGUGUCUGACGCUGAGGCGCGAAAGCCAGGGGAGCGAACGGGAUUAGAUACCCCGGUAGUCCUGGCCGUAAACGAUGGGUACUAGGUGUGGGGGGUAUCGACCCCUUCCGUGCCGGAGUUAACGCAAUAAGUACCCCGCCUGGGGAGUACGGCCGCAAGGUUGAA